rnacentral:rRNA from 1 species
AGCUUGCUUUCUUUGCUGGCGACCGGCGCACGGGUGAGUAACACGUAUCCAACCUGCCCUUUACUCGGGGAUAGCCUUUCGAAAGAAAGAUUAUUACCCGAUAGUAUAAUGAUUCCGCAUGGUUUCAUUAUUAAAGGAUUCCGGUAAAGGAUGGGGAUGCGUUCCAUUAGGUUGUUGGUGGGGUAACGGCCCACCAAGCCUUCGAUGGAUAGGGGUUCUGAGAGGAAGGUCCCCCACAUUGGAACUGAGACACGGUCCAAACUCCUACGGGAGGCAGCAUG